AGUUAAAACUCAUGUUACUAAAAUUGAAAUUCAGUGCCAAAUUUUGCUUUUAGACCAAUCGGCUAGUGUCAGUCGCUCCAAAAAAAUUACACCCAAAAUGCAUAUUCAGUCUUCUCUAUUCUAUUGUGAAACACAUAACUUUUAUGCAAGAAAAUAAAAAUCUGAGUCCUCGUGAUCUUCAUAGUUUUGCUCAAGGUCCAUUAUUUUAUGUGAAAGAGAGGAGAUAUCGUUACUGUAGAGUAAUGAAGUUUUUGGAAGUGAAAGUUGAAGCAUGAAAGUUUUUGGAAGGCCACAGCCGCUGGUGAAUCAGUCUGACGACAUCUAAAGCGAUUUGUGUACGCAUUUUUAUAACCUCAUCAAAUGUUACAUUCCUUUCCAUAUGUUUUGGAAAUCAUGGAGGGAAAAAUCCAGAAACCAGAGGAGCCAAAUGAGAGAUGCAAAUGAGACAACACAAAAGAAGAAUCAAAAUGAUCUUAAAAGCAUAAUGUCAUAGGAUACUGAACCAAAACAAGAUUCAUGGGAAAUGAGGAAACCAGUUUCUAAUGAAGCAUUAUAUUUCUGAGAUUUUGAUACUACAUCAAUAUUUAAUGUAAACAUGGCUCAUAUGUAAAGCUGAUCAUUUGAAUCAGAUUGGAUUGGAUUGGACAAUAUUAUUAUAUAUAGACUACUGAUGCUGCCUUAAAGCUACAACAACUUUUACAAAAGGGUUGGAAAAUCAAGAGAAUUAUUACGUAGUUUC